GUGCCAUGCCUUUUUUUUUCAAAUAUUUGAAAAUGAAUACCUAUGGCCUUUUAUAAUUUUUUUAAUACAAAGUAUACUGGAGGCAAAGAAAAUAUUCUUUGUAACCCUAAGUCAUAGAUACAUAUUUGAACUUAUUAUUUCCUUUAAAAAAAUUGACUGAAGGCCCUCAGAGAAUAUGGAGGAAAUACCAAGGAAUAAAAGAGAAAGCAUCACAUGUUCAGGUAGUGGACAUCAAUUUACAUAACACACUGACCUACAUUAAAAAUAAUAGCUUAAAAAAAGAAUGAUUUUUAAAUCAUAAAACUAUUUUAAUGUAAUUGUUUCACUUUAAUCAAGGAGGAAAAGAAUGAACAGUGAUGCCAAAGAUAUCACAUCUAGAAUAGAAAAUAUUUGUGUUAAUUUUUGGAAAACCUGUGGUAAUAUUGCUAUGGCUGCCUCAAUCCCAGUACAUUGAAGUUGCAUCUUACUACUUCAGAGUCAACAUCAAGAUUUUUAUUGCAAAAGUUAAACGAUUCUUGAUUUUAUAUGUUACUAUGACCAAGCUCAUUAGCUUAAUAAAAUGUAUAAGCAAUUAACAAAAGCAUCACAUGAAUGUUCCAGAGCAGCAUAAUCCAUUAGAUAGCAGAAAAACAAAAUGUGGUAUACAAGCAAAUUGUAUAUCUAAACAAAUACAUACUAAUAGAUGUAUAUAAACAAAACAUGGUACAUAAACAAAAUGAAUGAUAAACAAAAUGUGGCAUAUACACACAAUGAAAUAUUAUUCAGCUAUAAAAAAGAAUAAAGUUCUGACAUAUGCUAUAACAUGGAUGAACCUUGAAGGCAUUGUGCUAAGUGAAAUACGCCAGAAGCAAAAGGACAAAUAUUGUAUGAUUCCACUUAUACAAAAUAUUUGGAAUAGGCAAAUUCAGAGACUGAAAGUAGAUUAGAGGUUACCAAGGGCAAAAAGGAGAAGGAGACAAAUGUACUAUACUAAUUCAAGAUAUUAACAAUAGGGAAAACUGGUCGGGCUCGGUGGCUCAGGCCUGUAAUCCCAGCACUUUGGGAGGCCGAGGCGGGCGGAUCACGAGGUCAGGAGAUCGAGACCAUCCUGGCUAACACAGUGAAACCUCGUCUCUAAUAAAAAUACAAAAAAUUAGCCGGGCACGGUGGCGGGCACCUGUAGUCCCAGCUACUCCGGAGGCUGAGGCAGGAGAAUGGGGUGCACCCGGGAGGCGGAGCUUGCAGUGAGCCGAAAUUGCACCACUGCACUCCAGCCUGGGCAACAGAGCGAGACUCCAUCUCAAAAAAAAAAAAAAAAACAAUAGGGAAAACUCGGUGUGGAGCAUUUGGGAACUCUCUGUACUAUGUUUGUAACUUUUCUGUAAAUAAAAAACAUUCUGAAACAAAACAUUUAUUAAAAAAAAAAAAAACAGGAUGACAUCCACCCUCAUAAAAAUUUACCCUAUAAACAGAUUAACACAUAUUUUGAAUUUUCUAUGUGCUAAAAUAUACUUACUACAAAUUCAGUAAGUCAAACUGAACCAAGAUUAUAAUAUCCUUGUAAAAUCCCAGGUGUGCAAGGACAAUUUUGGAAAACCUGUUUUGUGCUAUAGCGGUAAAAUAAGGUUAAAUAGCCUGGACUCGUGUGUAUUUGAAGAAAAUUACUUAAGCAAGUGUAAAAUGGUUAACAUUGCAGUAUAAACUAAAAUGUUUUGGAAGAGCAAUUUGAGAAGAACUUUAAUAAAUAAGAACUAUUCUUAUUUUUACCAACUUUUUCAAGGAUGCCAUCAUAUAGAAAUCAUAGAACUACUCACAAAAAGACACAAGGAUUAAGUUUUAACCGCACCAUUUUUUUGUGAAAGGGACAAUCUAAAGUCUUAUUAAUAAAGAAAUGUUAAAUUAUGUUACAUAAAUUAUGAUAUCCAUGAAUUUUCAUUUCACACUAACAGUCAAGUAUUCUGAUGCAUAGUCCAGAGACACAUGUUAAACACUAAAAUUGAUGCUAUUAAAAACAUAAAAUUGAAUGACUUGUGUAUGAAAAGGGGUCCUGUUUAAGCCAUGCAAAGACCAUGGGGCAAGGCAGACAACUCUCUAUGAAUAUGACAGUCAUGACACACCCCAUAAAAAUUACUUAUGACUCAACCAAGAACACAAGCAGUAUGAAGCAAUGGGCAUGCAACAAACUAUAGAUCAUGAAAUAUUAUCAGAACUGUUUCUGAUAUAGCUCUGCUACUGUUACUAUGUUACAUGCACUCUUAUUAAAAAGCCCCCUACAUUAAUUCUAGUAAGUAAAUUUUCUGUUACAAAAGUCCAUAUAGGCAUUUAUACCAUGUGACAUCUGGCAGAAAUAUAUAUAAUAGUAGCAAGGAAAAACAAAAAACCUGGGUAGAAUUAACACAAAAUAGAUUAAUAAAAACAUUCAAGAUGGAGACUAGUAAACUGUUGAAGUAGGGAAGUCAAGAGUCAUGAAAAGUCAUUGACUCAAACAUUAUUAAAAUAGAACCAAAAAAUUUAGAGUAUACAGAAUGGCAUCACAUAAAUGAGUCUAAAUAUAGAUAGGCAGCAAGAGGCACAAUAAAUAGCAACAUUUAUAGUACUUCCACAAUCAAAAUAAUUCUAUGCUAUCACAGGAAAAGACAGUCAAUGACACCAACCAGUGAGUCCAGAAGUCAAAUAGAUGAGAAUUUAGUAUUUGAUGUGUAGAACUUUAAAUAAGUGAGCAGGCACAGGGGUACUUGCCUGCAGUCACAGAUACUCAGGAGGCUGGGUCGAGAGGAUCACUUGAGCCCAGGAGUUCAAAUCUAGCCUGGGCAACAUGGUAAAACCCUGUCUCUUAAAAAAAAAAAAAAAGAGUGAGCAAAAUGUAGAUUUUUCAGUAAAUAGUAUUGGGACAACAGCUAGCCAUUUAAAAUAAAAUGUGAAAUCAUUAUAUGGCUAUCAACCUCAAAAUAAAAUCCAAAAUGAUCAAUAACUUAAAAAUAACUAAAUCAUGAAAGUACUUUGAGAUACUGAUUUCCUCUGACCUACUAAAAGCUAUAUUCAAAGAUUUCCUAAAAUUGAACCAUUUUUGCAUGGUUGGUAUGAACACCACUUGCCCAAUUGUGUAUUGAUCAUAAAUUUGCUCCUGGAUUCUUGUUGCCAAAUUUUUAUUUAUGUUAUUUCCUUAUAUAUCACUAUUAAAAAUAGGCUACAGAUUUUUCAGUUUUUAUCAAGCUAUAAAUAUGCCGACUUCAUAAUAAGACCAUUGUCUUUCAUAUACAGAGACCAUCUCUGGGAAGGUUGAAGGUUGCUUGUAUCUUGUAAGGAGGAAGGAAGAUUGAGAACUGGGAAUCUAAAAGCAGAAAGAAGACUUUUAACUAAAACAACUUUAGUACAAAUUGAAUUUUGUACUAUUUACCAUUUGCACAUAUUACUUUUUUUAAAACAACUUAUAAUCUCAUAUCUACAAAAAAUUAAAAAAUUAGUGGAGAAUGGUGUCCUGCGCCUAUAGUCCCAGCUACUCAGGAGGCUGUGGUGGGAGGAUCACUUGAGGCCAGGAGGUGGAGGUUGCAGCCAGCCAAGAUGGUGCCACUUCACUCCAACCUGGGUGACAAAAGGAAACCCUGUCUCAAAAAAAUAAAAUUAGCCAGGCGUGGUGGCACGGGCUACUCAGGAGGCUGAGGUGGAAGGAGUGGAAGAAUUGCUUGAGCCCAGGAGGUCGAGAUUACAGUGAGCCAUGAUCUUGCCACUGCACUCCAGCCUGGGCAACACAGUGAGACUGUCUCAAAAAAAAGAAAAAGGAAAAAAAAGAAAUGCCACUGGACUGCAACUUAUAAAUGAUUAAAAUGGUAAAUUUUAUGCUAUAUAUAUUUUACCACACACAAAAGGAAAAACAAAUCACCUGGAUCUUCCAAACAUUGUAUAUAGAAAAUUUUUGUUCUCACUCUGGAUACACCUGCCCCAUUCUCCUAGCACCUAGAGGUAACUGCUUUCAUAUCUCAGUGCUAUAUGUUUAAAAAAUAUAAGUAAACAUAUGUUUCACCCAUUUUCUUCCACAGAAGAAAACUCAUUAUAUGUAUUAUCUUUAUAUGCCUUUGUUCACUUAAUAUAGCCUUCAAAUUUUCUAUUACUGCAUAGACUGCCACCUCAUUCAUUUCUAAAGCAUUCUAGUAUUCCAUUGUGAGAAUCUACCAGUUUAUCCAGUCCCUUAUUGAUGAGCCCCUGGAUCGUUUCCAACCUUUUGCUAUUAUAAAAUAUUCUUCAAUGUUACAUAUACAACUUGUUUCACUUUUUCAGCUAUGUAGGAUAAUUCUUAGAAGAGGAUUCACUAGAUCAAAUAAAGGCGACUUUAAUUUUUUUUUCUCCCUUCCCUCCAGGAAGGCCGCCUCUACUCAGCCAGCAGCAGGAAACAGCCUGCUUUGGAGGUCAAAUGGAGGGCUGGGUGGGGCCAGCUCAAACCUUCUAUCCCCAGCUCUUUUGAAAUUCCAGAUCCCUGGCUUUGUCUUAAGCAAAAGUACUGUGGAAGCUGCAGCAUUUCCUCCUCCUUUCCAGAAACUGAGCAAGAAAAGCCACCCUGGAAGGUGUACGAAUGCUGCCUCAUGCCCAACAAGCCACAGGGCCUGGACGCACUAACUGCAGCCCCACAGCCACCACCCACCAGAGCCCAGGGAGAUUCCCCAGGGCAACUAUUACUUUGAUAAAUAUCUCCAAAGUAUCCUUCAUAAGUAUUAUAUUAUUUUGCAUUCCAGCAUUCUAUAAGUGCCAGUUUUCCCACAGUCCUGCCAACAAAGUUCUCAAAUAUUAACUUUCUGUAGUUUUUCACAUUUCUCCUAUAAAUGACUUAAGCAUGCUUUUAUAUAUUAAAGUGCCAUUGGUUUUCCUGGGAACUAUCUGUUCAUGACCAUUGCUCAUUUUUAACUAGGGUCUUUUAAUUUUCCUUAUUUUUUUAGAAGCUUUUUAUAUAUUAAUGGAGAUUAGCACUUAAUGUGUGUUGCAAAUAUUUUUUCCAGUUUCUUGUUUCUCUUUUGACUUCAUUUAGAGCAUUUUGACACAAAAUAUUUUAUUUUUAAAAAAAUUAAUAUUAAUAUUUAAAUAUUUAAAAAUAUUUUUUAUGUAGCUGCAUUUAUGAAUCUUAUUUUAUGGCUUCUAUGUUUGAAGAAAGAAAGAUAAAGAUGUGUUUACAACGCAGUGAGCAAAGGAUAGUUUCAUUAACAAAUGGAAUAUGUAAUUAACUAGGAUAAAGAGUAAACCCUUUUCACUUAAAUAUCAGGUUAAUUAAGAAUUAAAAGACUUUGGAAGUAUAUGAAAAAAUAUACACAAAUAUACUGAUUUGGUCUCAGAGUUCAGAAUUCCUUUCCGAAAAUAAAUCUGUUAGGGACAAACUGCCUCAAGAAGCUUCUUGGUGCUGCCUGCCCCUCCCCACUCUGCAACUCCUCUCCAUGCUGCCCCAAGCCUUUUUACAUUUCUAAGCCCUUAUCUAGGCGCCACAGUGAAGCCAGCAGACUUUACCUAUCAGGCCUCGCUGCUAUAAAGCAAACCCCAAUUACAAACCAUCCGGACCGCACAGAGGGAGGUCGUGGGAAGCAUAAACAAACUUUACCUACAAUCUCCGGUACCAUAAACGUCACAAGGUGAUAAUGUGGCAGAAUAAACCAGCAAACAACCCCGGGAUGCGGCCAUACCAAAGAACUCCCUCAAACUCCCUCCCCAAUAUAAACCCCUCAUUCUGUAAGCUGGCUGCUGCUGCCUCCUUUGUCUGUGAUAAAGCAGCCGGCGGGUUUAAUAAAAGCUUGCCUGAACUUGGGUCUUGCUCUCUUGUCCUUUCUCCCGGCUGAUCUUACAAAAUCAAAAGUCAAAUAUUUACUUAAAUAUGUUAAACUCAAUUAAAUUUCAUGUCAUGACACUUAUCAAUCUUUUAUCUUAGGAAUUCUUCUUUUGGUAUUAGGAAUAAGAAAAGGAUUGACAUGCUUAAUAUCCUUAAUAUUUUAAGCACUCUUUUCCAUUUUUUUUCUUUUUUCUUUUUCUGGUUCAGGUUUGAGCAUUGAUAAACACUCUUUAAAGAGAAACAUUUUAAUGUUUUGGAAGUGCUUUCCAUAGUAAUAAGCCUGUCCUCCCUUGACUCCUCAGCCGAGCUGACUAGCCUAGCUAGGAAAGAGCCAGUCAGGCUGACAGUUAAUAAGAACUCAAGCUCAUGCCUGAAAUUCACAGUGCUUUAGGAGGCUGAGGUGGGAGGAUCACUUGAGGCCCUUAGGUCAAGACCAACCUGGGCAACAUAGCCAGACCCCAUUCUCUAACAACAACAACAAUAACAAAAAUUAGCAGGGGGUGGUAGGAGGCUGAGGCAGGAGGAUCACUUGAACCCAGGAGUUCAAGGUUGCAGUGAGCUAUGAUCACACCACCGCAAUACAGCCUGUGCAACAGCCUGUACAACCCUGUCUCCAAAAAAAGAACCCAAGUUUUCAAUAUGCAUAGCCACAUAUAAACUAGAACUUAAGCUGUAAGGAGUCCUGUGGAAGCAGAAACUCUAAGUAGAAGCCCUAGGGUAGAGAAGGGCAUAGAAAGUCAAACAAGAGAGCAAAACAACCUGAGGCAAGAGGAUGACAAAGCAAAAAUGCAGCGCAAACAUGAACAUGUUGGUGGGCACACACACAUAGUUUCUCCAGAUGCCUUGAUUUCCUAAUAGCUUUCUAGUUCCCCUUACUGAGAGGCAUAGCUACAUACCAGUUCCUUUGGUGGAUUUCCAGUAAAAUCCCUAUCUCCCUUACUGCUCACAAUCCCUUGCAGCCUUGCUAAUUACAGCCCCCUCAUUUGAUCUGGCAUUUGUGUUCUUCACAACAAAAACUUUACUAAAACCAGAGGCAAAAUAUAAAAAUGUAUCUGUCAUAUAAUGAAGAAUAAAUCUAGUCUUUGUCUCCUGUUCCUGGUACAGAGCUUAGAGAGGCUUGGAAUUUCCUGAUUAAUGGAAGUGUCUUUGUUAUUCAUAAGAAGCCCCUUUGGACUAUAUCUGAGUUUAUACUUGGGGGUGACUCAAGGUAGGCCCUCACAUAGUUUGAAAGGACGAGCUGGCCAUGCCAGACAGACCAAGCAUAUGGUUAGAGGGUUGGAACUUUUAGCCACACCCCCAGAUGUUCAGAGAUUAAAGAGGAGCUGGAGAAGGAAGUUAAUCAUGUGGCCAAUAAAACUCUGCAAACUCAAAGUUCAAGGAGCUUCCUGGUGGAUGAACACUUUGUGUGCCUGGUAGUUUGUGUUAACUCUGGGUAGUUAGUGUCAGAAUUGAAAUGAAUUGCAGGAUACCCAGUUGGUGUCAGACAAUUGGUGUCAGAACAGUCUCUAUCACUCAUUAUUCACCUACCAACUAACGAAAUUAUUAACUUUUUUCCACCAAAGUAGUACAUUUUCAUUAAGGAAAAAAAAAAGGAUAACCAACAUGAAUGUUUUGGUGGCUAUACUUCAACAUUUUUAACUCUACUAGGAAAAUGCAUCAAAGAGGUUAUAAAACUUACCUCAAUUUUCGAUAUGGAGGAAAAUACUAUUAUCUAUAUCAAAUUAUGCCCAGAUACCACAGCCAAUCUGUGUUUUUAAAUCUCGUCAAAUGAAAAGGCCUAUUAUUUUAAACAAAUUUCCUAUAUUCUAAUUACACUGAUGUGAAACCACACAAUAAAAAUCUAAUAUUCCCUUGUACUUCUUUCUUAAAGAAUGGUGCCAGGCCGGGCACGGUGGCUCACCCCUGUAAUCCCAGCACUUUGGGAGGCCGAGGCAGGCGGAUCACUUGAGGUCAGGAGUUGGAGACCAGCCUGGCCAACAUGGUGAAACCCCAUCUCUACUAAAAAUACAAAAAUUAGCUGGGCAUGGUGGUGUGUGCCUGUAAUCCUAGCUAUUCGGGAGGCUGAGGCAAGAGAAUCGCUUGAACCCGGGAGGCAGAGGUUGCAGUGAGCCAAGAUUGUGCCACUCCAUUCCAGCUGCAUGCAGCUAGACUCCGUCUCAAAACAAACAAACAAGAAGCCCAGAAUAGGUGCAUGGGCUUAAGAUUUCAUUACUGUGCCAAAUUACAAAUCUAGUUGAAAAAUUGAGUCUAAUACCAGUUACUGCUUACUGUUAAGCUGACAAAUUUAGUUACAAAUAAGAGACACUUGUUCAGGGAAGGUAGAAAACUGAUGAGGUUCUUAAAAGCUUCCUUGACUCCCUUACUAUGCUGAGGGGAUUGGCCACCCAAAUUCUCUAAUUAGAUUCUUGUGAAAUACAAGAUUGCCAAUUGUCUUAUGUAUAGCUUCACAACCUCUUCCUCGUACGUGAUUCUUUUUUUUUUUUUUUUUUUUUUUUUGGAGACAGGGUCUCGCUCUGUUGCUCAGGCUUCAGUGCAGUGGCACUAUCAUGGUUCACUGCAACCUCCACCUCCCAGGCUCGAGCUAUCCUCCUACGUCAGCCUGGGACUACAGGUACCAGCCACCAUGCCCAGCUAAUGCUUUUUAAAAUUUUUAGUACAGGCAGGGUCUUACUAUGUUGCCCAGGCUGGUCUCAAACUCUUGGGCUCAAGUGAUCCACCCACCUUGACCUCCUGAAGUGCUGGGAUUAUAGGUAGGAACCACCGCACCUGGCCUGAUUGUUUUCUUUUUUUUUUUUUUUUUUUUUUUUUUUCAUUUUUUUUUUAU
rnacentral:lncRNA from 1 species